GUAAGGUCAGCUAAUUAAGCU
rnacentral:tRNA from 1 species